rnacentral:lncRNA from 1 species
CUCCCCUUCAAAGUGUACAAUAAUACAGAGGAGGUAGCCAGGCAGCAACGCAUUUCUGAGUUACAGCUGCUCGCCUCCGCUGUAAGACAGCCCACAACCACGUCUCCAGCAUACAAGAACUUCAGAACAUCCAAGCCACAGCUCCCAGGGGCUCCUUCAAAACAUCCUCGUGGACCUUGCUUCAAAUGCUAAAAGCCUGGCCACUGGGCCUCAGAAUGCCCGCAGCCCGGGAUUCCUCCUAAGCCGUGCCCUGUCUGUGCGGGCCCCCGCUGGAGGUCGGACUGUCCGACUCACAUCACUGCCACUCCUAAAGCCCCUGGAGCCCAAACCCUAUGUUCCUUGGCCGACUCCUUCCCAGAUCUCCUCGGCUUAGCAGCUGAAGACUGACGUAGCCCGAUCGCCUCAGAAGCCUCCUGGACCAUCACAGACGCUGAGCUUCGGGUAACUCUUAAAGUGGAGGAAACCCUGUACCUAUCAGCAGUCAGUCCUGCAGCCGACCCCCCUCUGGCCCCAGUGAUAAAACCAAGAGAACAGAAGAAAUACUUCUGGACCUAAGGAUGAAAGAAUGAUGGGAGAAACAUUUCUUGAGCCAGUCCCUUUCUGCGUUCUUAUUUUGUGGAAUCCGCACACAUCCCCGAGAAGCUUAAUAAAAAGGGCUACUAUCAUGAC